GAUGAAGAACGUAGUGAAAUGCGAUACGUAAUGUGAAUUGCAGAAUUCAGUGAAUCAUCGAGUCUUUGAACGCACAUUGCGCCCCCUGGUAUUCCGGGGGGCAUGCCUGUCCGAGCGUCAUUGCUGCCCUCAAGCACGGCUUGUGUGUUGGGCCUCCGUCCUCCUCCCGGGGGACGGGCCCGAAAGGCAGCGGCGGCACCGCGUCCGGUCCUCGAGCGUAUGGGGCUUCGUCACCCGCUCUUGUAGGCCCGGCCGGCGCUUGCCGACACAUCAAUCUUUUUUCCAGGUUGACCUCGGAUCAGGUAGGGAUACCCGCUGAACUUAAGAAUAUCAAUAAGCGGAGGA
rnacentral:misc_RNA from 1 species